UUAGGAGUUAACGGGCGCCCUCUGGCGGCUAUGAUGGUAACUGGCUGUCGUGGGGGAGGGAAGCCCAGAGCCCUGGGAACCAAAGUGGGGGCAACUGCGAGGGCCCAGAUGAGUGACCAUCGGGAUGAGAAAUGGAUAUGUGUUGCUCACGCUUAUCCCAGCACUUCAGGGACAGCCCUGGCACCCCCAGCCCCCAGCCAAGAAACACAUAACAGCAGCUAGAUUCAUUUUUAAUGUCAUCCGAAAACUCAGAAUAGGCCAGCGGGCCUCUGGGCUCAGCAGCUGUGGAGGAGGGCCUCCCCACACCUCCUAAGGCAGGUCACUGCAAGAAGGCACUCAUGAGGGGGACUUAAGCCCCUUUUCUAUUUCUUCAUAUAAAAUGGGAGGGGGGAGGGGCGGGAGCCUGGAGACAGGGAGACCAUCCCUCCCAGCCUAUGGGUAAAGGAAAAGGCUGGGAGCCAGCCAGCCCUUAAGAAACUGCUAAUUCAGGGACUGCCGUCUCUCUCACACACUCACACACACACACACACACACACAUCCCAUCUUCCCUCUCUCUCUCUAGAGUCCGCAGUCGGGGCCUGGGGAGAGGACGGCCCGUGUUCAAACCCCCACUUCUUCUCCCUUCUAGCUGGUACGAAGUUGAUAAUCUGCACGGAAACAAUGAGCGGGGACCAUCUCAGAAUUGGGGAAAGGAGACAAAGGGACAGGCCCCCCACCCAAAUCCAGCCCCUUCCCCAGCGCUCAUGAUCAACCCUACAGCUUUAUCAUCCCCGAAGGAUAGCCAUGUGCACACGUAGGUGGCUCUCUGAUUUAUUCUCUGCCUUGCCCUCAAGAAGCAGGGGCAGGUCCCCCAGAUCCCCCGCCCAUCCCCAGUGCUCACCGGAAAAGACUUGAUACUCCAGAUAACGACGUUCUUCUCUGGCAUGUACUUGGCACUGCCUACGCUGGUCUUGAAGCGUGGGGAGUCGGCAUCGCUGGGUACCGGCACAGAUAUCUCCACGCUGUUGGCCACUGACUGCUUCUUAAACUGCCCCUUGGCCUGUCAGUGGAGAGAACAUGGGGCAUGAAGAAUUCACUCAUGCAAAUAUUCACCAAGGCCUUUUCAUGUGCCAGCUCAUCAAGAGCCCUGAAGUGGAGACCAUAAUCCAGCCUAUUUUCCAGAUGAGGAAACAGAGGCACAGAGAAGUUAAAGCAUUUGCCUGGAGACACACAGCCAACAAGUGGCAGAGCCGGGGUCCACACCCAGGAGAGACUCCAGAGGUCCUGAUUUUGUUUUUUUGUUUUGUUUUUUGGCUGCACACACAGCAUGCAAGAUCUUAGUUCCCCGACCAGGGAUGGAACUCACGCCCCCUGCAGUGGAAGCGCAAAGUCUUAACCACUGGACCACCAGGGAAGUCCCCCAGAGGCCCUGCUUUUGGUGCCUUCCGUUUGGAAAGUGUCAUACACCUUUGCCUGGUUCAAAAGAUCCCUCAUUUGAGCAGCCCCUAGGGCAGGCUCUGCUCUCAGCCCACUUCACAGACAAGAAAGUGAAGGCUCCUGGCCAAGACUCACAGCCGAAGCUUCUGACUGCAAAGCCUGAUGGGUCCUCAGCCCGUCACAGAGUUUUCAUUUGAAAGCUGACAUUUACUGACCCCCUACCAUGUGCUGGGCCCUGUGCCAAGCAGUUAGCCCUCUCACUAAUUCUCUAAAGUAGGAGUCAUUCCUAAGGUCCAUUUUACAGAUGAGAAGACUGAGGCCCAGAGAGAAAGAGCUUUUGCCCGAGUCACGUAGUUGAUAACCAGCACAGCAGGGAUUUGACCCAAGCCUGUGUUUUCAAUCCUCACAUGUUCUCCUUACUGAUGUUACAACAUUAUAGCCAGAUCUAGAUCUGUGUGACUUGGGACAAGCUUUUAACACAAGGACUCUAAGUGUCCAUGUGCAGUGACUAGCAUUAUGAUGACUGCUCUUAUUUAUGAAUUUGGUGGUGGUGGGGAAUAUAUGAGAGGUGGGAUUGGGGCCAGAGGACCUGGAGGUAAAACAAGGCAGGGGGUGUUCUUUCUGGAAGGCACCAGCUUUAAGGCCCUUUCCACUUUCCCUGCCUGCAGAGACGGGGACACUGGGGAUGUCAACACCCCCGCCCCCCGCCCCGUGACCGUCCACUCCACAACCCAGCUCCCCGAAGACUCUAAGACUGGGGAACAAAGUUAAAUCUGAGAACACAGACUCUUGAGCCAGGCAGACCCAAGUUCAACGUGCCCGCUCCCUUCCUAGAUGAAUGACAUCUUAAUUCUUCUGGGCCUCAGUUUCCCCAUCUGUAAAAGGGGCUAACUAUAUGCUCUGGAAAAGCUCUUGCUUGGGGCACUGGGAAACAAGCACAGGGCUAUUCAAGGCAAGGUGAACCACAAUAGCCAGGAACUGAAAAAAACCCAUGCAAGAGACGGGACAGAAGAUUCUCACGGUGGAAUAUUCUACAGCCACAGAAAUGGAUGCACUAAGCUCUGGCUGCUGGGAUUCCUCUUAAAAAUCCACGUUACCUGAACAAAGCAAAUUAUACAAAAAGUCAUACAGCUCCAGUCCAUGGAUAUAAAGGGCCCACCUUGACCAUGAUCUCCACGCGGCUGUGGGAGAAUUUCUCAAUGACAGAUUCAAUCCAGAUCAGCGGCUUGACCUACAGACAGAGGAAGAGGGAGUUCUCCGAGGCUCUGGGGUCAACUCUCACCCCUUGCCAGGGGCUUCACCCUGCCUUACCUGGGUGCUGAGGCGGUAGGACAUGAGCUCGAAGUCACCGUCGGGCGGAAUGAAGGAGAUGGUACGGUCGUUGUCGAAGCGAGACAGCCGCACACACUGGUGGAAUUUCACAUCCUCCAGUUCCACGGACUUGUUCUUGCUCCCUGAAACUCGGAGCCGAGUUAGCAGCGUGAUCCUGGAGCCUGGGGCGACCCUGGAGCCCGGGGCACGGUCCCUAUCCUUGUCUUCCCUUUCUACCGCUACGAUCACCCCCAUUUAACAGAUGAGGAAACUGAGGCCCGGAGUGGAUGAGUAACUUGCCCAGGGUCACCCAGCUGGCCAGGAGCGGAGCUAGGAUCUGAACUCCGGGAAUCAGGCUCUUGCUGCCAGGUUGUUAAAUAUGAUGCUAUUCUGUCUCCUACUGCCGCUAGAAUGUCAGAUCCAUGAGGGCAGGGAUUUUUUUCUUCACUAUGGUGUCCUUGCGCCUGGCACUCAAUAAUGAAGCAGUUGUUUGUGCAAGAAACCAGCAGCUGCAGUACUGGUCAUAACCAGAAGAGGGCGGGCGAGUGCUAUUUCAGAACUGACUGCAAGUCUCUCGGUACCACCCACCCGUGAUGGGACGAAGUCUCAGGCUCCCGCUUGCGCCCCCUUCCAGAAACUUACGGCCAGUGAGCUCGAAGAGCACGCGGUCAUUGAGGCCCAGCCUCAGCUCUGGCAUUCCCGACAGAAACACUUUGAGCUUGAUGGUGCCCACGAUCUCACUCAGCAGGACACUGCCGUUGGCGUUGACCUAAGGAUGCACACAUGGGGGGGUCAACAGGCAUAGGGCCCACUCUCCUGCCCUAAGGCCGUGGCAGGGGUGGGGAAGAGGUGUAGGGGCUCACCAGCAGGUUGACGGACUCUAUGACAUCGAUGAAGACUUCGUUCUUCUUGUAUUUGAUGCCCUCCGAGCGCCAGGACACAGCAUUGGUGACAGUGGGUGGCACUCGUGACUUGCCCGUCUCCAGCUUGUUGCCCUGCUGCGUGAUGUAUCUGGCAGGAAGGCAGGGAGAUGAGCAGGAUUUUGCUGUCCGUGGUCUGUGGGAAGCCGAAGUCCAUGAGCUCAUCCAGCAGCUCGUAGACGAUGACGAAGUUGUCUCGAAUGCUUUCCUCCUCCAGCUCCUUGAAGUAUUCAGAGAAUACCUGCAGGUUCAGGGAGACCGACAUCCACAGAGGUGUGGCUGGUGUAGCUGUGGGCUGAGUCCCCACUCACCCAGCCAGCCACCCAACAAGCAACUACUGAGCGCCUACUGUAUACCACUGUCGGUAUAUUAAUGGUGAACAAAGC